GAUGAACGCUAGCGGCAGGCCUAAUACAUGCAAGUCGGACGGGAUUCGGGAGCUUGCUCCUGAUGAGAGUGGCGCACGGGUGCGUAACACGUAUGUAACCUACCUUGAUCUGGGGGAUAGCCUCUCGAAAGAGAGAUUAACACCGCAUAACAUUGCGACGCGGCAUUGCGAUGCAAUCAAAUA
rnacentral:rRNA from 1 species